rnacentral:rRNA from 1 species
AGGACGAACGCUGGCGGCGUGCUUAACACAUGCAAGUCGAGCGGAAAGGCCCUUCGGGGUACUCGAGCGGCGAACGGGUGAGUAACACGUGAGCAACCUGCCCUUAGCUCUGGGAUAGCUCCGGGAAACCGGAAUUAAUACCGGAUACGACCUAGGCCGACAUCGGCCAUGGUGGAAAGUUUUUCGGCUAGGGAUGGACUCGCGGCCUAUCAGCUAGUUGGUGGGGUAACGGCCUACCAAGGCGACGACGGGU